rnacentral:rRNA from 1 species
CCUACGGGGGCAGCAGUGGGGAAUAUUGGACAAUGGGCGCAAGCCUGAUCCAGCCAUGCCGCGUGUGUGAUGAAGGCCUUAGGGUUGUAAAGCACUUUCACCGAUGAAGAUAAUGACGGUAGUCGGAGAAGAAGCCCCGGCUAACUUCGUGCCAGCAGCCGCGGUAAUACGAAGGGGGCUAGCGUUGUUCGGAAUCACUGGGCGUAAAGCGCACGUAGGCGGAUUGUUAAGUGAGGGGUGAAAUCCCAGGGCUCAACCCUGGAACUGCCCUUCAUACUGGCAAUCUCGAGUUCGAGAGAGGUAAGUGGAAUUCCGAGUGUAGAGGUGAAAUUCGUAGAUAUUCGGAGGAACACCAGUGGCGAAGGCGGCUUACUGGAUCGAUACUGACGCUGAGGUGCGAAAGCGUGGGGAGCAAACGAGGAUUAGACUACCCUGGUAGUCCACGCUAGUAAACUAUGAGAGCUAGCCGUCGGACAAGUACACUUGUCGGUGGCGCAGCUAACGCAUUAAGCUCUCCGCCGUGGGGAGUCGGUCGCAAGAUUAAAACUCAAAGAAGUAGUAGACGNGNGAGAGCGACGACGACGACGACGGAGGAGGAG